rnacentral:rRNA from 1 species
GAUGAACGCUGGCGGCGUGCCUAAUACAUGCAAGUCGAGCGAACAGACGAGGAGCUUGCUCCUCUGACGUUAGCGGCGGACGGGUGAGUAACACGUGGAUAACCUACCUAUAAGACUGGGAUAACUUCGGGAAACCGGAGCUAAUACCGGAUAAUAUAUUGAACCGCAUGGUUCAAUAGUGAAAGACGGUUUUGCUGUCACUUAUAGAUGGAUCCGCGCCGCAUUAGCUAGUUGGUAAGGUAACGGCUUACCAAGGCGACGAUGCGUAGCCGACCGGAGAGGGUGAUCGGCCACACUGGAACUGAGACACGCUCCAGACGCCUACGGGAGGCAGCAGUAGGGAAUCUUCCGCAAUGGGCGAAAGCCUGACGGAGCAACGCCGCGUGAGUGAUGAAGGUCUUCGGAUCGUAAAACUCGGUUAUGAGGGAAGAACAAAUGUGUAAGUAACUAUACACGUCGUGACGGUACCUAAUCAGAAAGCCACGGCUAACUACGUG